CCUCCUUUUCUUGGCGGGGUUCGGGCGUGCGGUCCCAGUCCCUGUAAUGUACAGAGGCAGAGGGAGAGGGCUCCGGCCCCCUUGGCGUCAUGUCUUCGGUGCUGACAGUUGCCAAUGUGCCGGUUCUAUCCUCAAGCGCCGGAACACGG
rnacentral:snoRNA from 1 species